rnacentral:rRNA from 1 species
GAUGAACGCUAGCGGCAGGCCUAACACAUGCAAGUCGAGGGGCAGCACGAUUGAGCUUGCUUAAUUGGUGGCGACCGGCGCACGGGUGCGUAACGCGUAUGCAACCUACCUUAUACUGGGGUAUAGCCCGGAGAAAUUCGGAUUAAUCCCCCAUAGUAUUAUUGUUUCGCAUGUUUUGAUAAUUAAAGGUUACGGUAUAA